AAAUGGAAAACACUGACAUUUUAUAAAAAUAGCAACAGCUGGUUUAAAAAUAGCAUCUGGUGAAAUAAAUGUGCUGUAACUUGUGAAACUCUCUUGGGAACAUUUCCCUUCUCAUCCAGUCCUCCCCUGUUCCCUAUUUCUUCUGUAAAGAGAAAUCCCAAGGCAGAUCCCUCUGUAGAAUGACAGACUAAAUCAGUACUUUGUACAUGGCAGAGAAUGAGUUUUGGCUAUUUUAAUUUAAUUUUAUUUUUAAUGUAUUUAUUUUUGAGACUCCGUGCCAGUGAGGGGGGCAAAUUCCCAUUUUGCUGAGCCUCAUGCCCAGGGAUUGGGAAAGUCAAAUUAGAAGUUUCCUUUUUUUUUUUUUUUCUUUCUUUCUUUAUUCAGUUUUACUGAGUUUAUCUUUGUUUUUUAAAGACCUUCUUUUGCUUUUAUCAAAUCAGUUUUGAAUGUUCUUUUCCUGUUCCAACCUCCCCUGUACUGGCCACAAGCAGCCAGACAGAUGGAUUAUAAAUCUUCAACAGAUUUGCAGAUCUGUGAAUCUUAAGAGCAGCAGCUUCCCUGGCAGCUCCUCCAAAGGGAGGUUUUGAGGUGCAGUGGCGUUCUACUGUGUUUCCUACAGAUGAGAAGGUGCAGGCUCUUCUCCAGGAGACUUGUGUGAUGGCAAAAGGGAAGCCACUCAACUGUGCGAUAGAAAAAGGACGAAGAGACCUUGAAUAGCUCUUUUCUUUGGAGCAGGGGACUGACUUCUUUCCUGAGGGGAUUAGGGGAUCAAGGAAUGAGAUGGUUCCAGAAAAUGGAUCAGGGAAGGGGCAGGAGGAAGGUUAUGGGCAGGAUUCAGUUAAGGAAAGACAGGAGACUUAGGGAUAUUCUUGGCUCUGAUGAGCGUGGAAGGAUUUGCAGCUUUUUUGAAAUCUCUCGCAGCCCUGGUUGUAAACAUGGUGCUUGUUUUGACUGGACUAGAUAACUGAGGCAGAAAUAUUUAGAAAUCACAGACAGAUAGACCUGUUAUUGAAGCUGUUCUAGCUGACUGGGGGUUGAGAAAAGUGAAGUUUUAGUUUAGAGAUUACAGUAACUUUCUUAAUUUUCUACCAAAACAUCUAGAGCAUUCAACCCCUUUUCAUAACCCAGAGCAUGUUGUGCAAAGAUUAGGCACUGCCCCUUGUGGACUGAAGCUAUCAAGAGUGCAGUGAAAAUGGAAGGGAUGAGUUGGACCAAUGUCUACAUGAAACUUUUUACAGAUUUUCAGUUACCCACUGGGAUUCUCACUUAAUCACAUGAUUCCAGAAGCUGGGGCAUUAAGAGAAACACAAAACACUGAGACUUGCCAACGCUGCAAAGAGAAAUUGAGCCUGCAGAAAGAUUUGGGCUUAAUACUUGGACCUGUUCAGAACUGGUGGGAACUAGUCCACUCUUCUCUCUCUUUAUGGACACAGCUGUUGUUCUGCCUCUCCAAUGAGGGUGACCUCCUGAAUUUCAAGGAGAUGCACAACUACAAAAAGGGGAAGAGUACAGAUAACUAACUUCAUGUACAACAGUCAUCGUAGAAUGGCCUAGCUUGGGGUUGGGCCUGAGACCCUUUGCUCACAUGCGUUUGCAAGACUGGAGCUUUGUACAGACAUGUGUGUGUUCUUCCGUGUUUCACAUUUUGCAAGCAAACAGGAGGAGUUCAGAUAUAAUCACCAUUUUCAUUAUAAACCUGCAGUGGCAAAUGCAAAACUGUACAUGCAUGUCUAAAUGAAUGAAAUACAUCACUAAUGAGAGGAUAUUAAUUGAAGGCUUAAAGGCAAAACUGUCACUGUGGCCGUAGGAAAAAUGUUGGUUCUAGAGACAAAGAUGGAACAGGAGAAGAUUGAAAAGUGAAUGAAGGAACAAACUCCAAGCACAGUCAUUGAAUAAAAAGUGAGAUUUCUUCAAGUACAGCAAAGCAAUGACUGCUCCAUUGAAUUCAGCAAACCUCUCACACCUACAUCAACUUUCUGGGAGCACCGGUCAAUCAUGAGAAAGUCCCGAUUCAUCAAUAAUAGUCCAUUUAGAAUUUUUUGAAGACUGUCAUUUUAUUACCAGAAUUUAUUUGCUAGGAAGUAUUUAAAAUUAUUUAAGCCCAAUCAUAUAUUUGUGACUAUAUUUAUUUAUGCCACUGUUCUCAAUGUGUGUUAGGGAAUUCCUUUCCUGUAUUUCACUGUAGCUGUAUGGAAUCUACAGGAAUUUACUGUUCAUGCCUCUGCCUGCUUUCUGGUAAUGUGCCCUCUUUGUCAUAUGAUACCUUUCUUCACUUGUAUUAAAAAUGUUCAGCUCUUGUAAAUGUGACCUCCAGUCUUAUAGUCUGAAAUCUACAAUUCAGUUGUAAUGCCAGCCAUAAAGGGCCCACUUUUCAGGACUGUCUCACUUGCAUGUAUUGUUACCAUCACUGCAUGCAUUAUUGUGGCAAUUGUAUGACAAAUUAGGCAUGCAUUUUGGAGCCUAUAAUUGAACAUGUGUAAUUUUUGAAAAUCGAGGCCUAAAAUAAGGUGGGGUUUUUUUAUUUAUUUAUUUUGUUAAAAAUGUUUCACUGCAAAAGUUUUACAUGAAUGCAUCCUAUAUUUAAAAGGGUGUUAUAUAUAUACACACACACACACACACCAUUAGAUUCUAAUGUCCUUAUUAUUUAGAAACAAUAAGAAUAUUAUAAAGCUGCCCAGAAGUAUAGAGCAAGGAAAUGUGCUAUUACAUCUGUGAUUAAAGAGGCAUGUGGCUAGUGAGUGGAAUGAACUGUCAGAGAGUGUUGAAGAGAAAGGAGUGAAGUUGUGAACUAGUGUUUGCAGCUUAGUUUUCUGGAAUCUAGAAAUUUCUGGAAGGUGAGAAGGGUAUCCCAUACAAUGUUCUAUAGAAAUCUGUCUUGUUCAUCUUAACUUUUAAGUCUUCGUAGUGAUGGAUUUGCUUGGUAUUUUUCAUUCUAACUGUAGUAGACAUGAAAGCUGCUGAUCAGUGCUACAACCUGGAGUUGAAUGUUUUGCAAUUACCAAACAUCCGUGUAAAAAUGUAUCUGACUCUAUGGGCCUGAUUCUCAUUUGCACUGAAGUCUCUCUAUAAUGAAAAUUAUACAUGCAUAAAGUUGAAAGAGGUGGAAGGAAACAAAUAUAUUUCUUCUGAAGUAAAAUGUAAAUUAUUGUCAAGAAUUUAUAGACAGGAUUCAUGCUCAUCUCAAAAUGUGUGGUCCUUUCUGGCCAGCUCAGCACCAGUGCACUGGGCUUUUAGCACAUUAGGACUGAUUUGAUUGAAACUUCAUAAGAAGUUAGGUGGUGAAAAAACAAGUAAGUUGGUUAAAGUGCAUGAGUAUCUAUAAGCAGAUACAGAAGAAUUGCAGGCCUAACUAAUUAGUGAGCUGGGAUUUGGUUACUGUGUUUGACUUACAGAAUUGCAAGUUUUUCAUUCUGGACAAUAGGUGUAUGCUCUUGUGUGUCUGAGGAAUAACUAUGCUUACAAAGCAAAUCACAUACUAGGUGUUUUGAGUUUCAUUUCAUAAAGGCUUUGUGAGGAUUUUUUCAUUGAGUAUUUUCACUGCAUUAAAACAAACAGUGGGCUUUUCAGAUGAGUGGAAAUCACAGCCACCUUGCCACAGCGUGGCAAUCACUUUUUGUGCUUUGUUUGAGGAAGGGAAAAUGUCAUCCUUAAAGUAUAAUUAAAUACAAUAAUAAACAGGAAAUUGAUCCCAAAAGUCUGAUUCUCUUUGUUUUAAGAAAGUCUGUAUCUCUUGUGAGGAUAUUGAGACUCUAAAACACCUAUUUAGUGUAACAGUUGCAAAAUAAGUAAGGUAGUCAGUCAUACCAUUGGCUUUUAUAGUCCAGCUGGUUACUUGCCAAUGUAAACAACAACUUAAAGGCUUAUUUUUACUAGAAUUUAUUUUCAUGUGCAUUUCAAAUAUAGUCUGAUGUGAACCAUUCCAAUGUAUCCCUAAUUGCCAAGAGGAAUAACUAUUUAACUACUUAUUGGAAUAAUGUUGUUGUUUAUAAAAGAAACUGACCCAAAUUGUCAUCUCUAACGAUAGAAUAAACCUCCUCUUCUACUUUAUUCAUUUUCUUCUUCCAGGGUUACUCUUAGAAAAGGAAAACAGAAUAUUUCCUUUUAUUUUUUUUAAACACAGAGAUUAAAUCUAUGAUUCUUUUCUCUGAAUAGCCUUGCAGCCCACUGUAUUGUCUGUUGUUGAGUCAGAUUACACACUGUACAGUAGUCAAGUCUUUAAACCAUUGCAUCAUUAAAUAACAGUAAGUACU